rnacentral:rRNA from 1 species
GCAGAGCACUCCGUACGGGAGGCAGCAGGUGGGGAAUAUUGCACAAGUGGGCGCAAGCCUGAUGCAGCCAUGCCGCGUGUAUGAAGAAGGCCUUCGGGUUGUAAAGUACUUUCAGCAGUGAGGAAGGUGGGUAUGUUAAUAGCAUACUCAUUUGACGUUAGCUGCAGAAGAAGCACCGGCUAACUCCGUGCCAGCAGCCGCGGUAAUACGGAGGGUGCGAGCGUUAAUCGGAAUUACUGGGCGUAAAGCGCAUGCAGGUGGUUUGUUAAGUCAGAUGUGAAAGCCCGGGGCUCAACCUCGGAAUUGCAUUUGAAACUGGCAAACUAGAGUACUGUAGAGGGGGUAGAAUUUCAGGUGUAGCGGUGAAAUGCGUAGAGAUCUGAAGGAAUACCGGUGGCGAAGGCGGCCCCCUGGACAGAUACUGACACUCAGAUGCGAAAGCGUGGGGAGCAAACAGGAUUAGAUACCCUGGUAG